rnacentral:rRNA from 1 species
CCCUUAGAUGUCCUGGGCUGCACGCGCGCUACACUGACACGCUCAACGAGUAAUACCUGCUCCGAAGAGACUGGGUAAUCUUGUUAAAUCGUGUCGUGAUGGGGAUAGAUUAUUGCAAUUAUUAAUCUUCAACGAGGAAUUCCUAGUAAGUGUAAGUCAUCAGCUUGCGCUGAUUACGUCCCUGCCCUUUGUACACACCGCACGUCGCUACUACCGAUUGAAUGAUUUAGUGAGGACUUCGGACUGGGACCGAUGCGGCUUUCGGGCUGCGUCGGUAUUCUGGAAAGAUGUCCAAACUGUAUCAUUUAGAGGAAGUAAAANUCGUANCA